UACGGGGGGGGCAAGCGUUGUUCGGAAUUACUGGGCGUAAAGGGCUCGUAGGCGGCCAACUAAGUCGGACGUAAAAUCCCCAGGCUCAACCUGGGAACUGCGUCUGAUACUGGAUGGCUUGAAUUCGGGAGAGGGAUGCAGAAUUCCAGGUGUAGCGGUGAAAUGCGUAGAUAUCUGGAGGAAUACCGGUGGCGAAGGCGGCAUCCUGGACCGACAUUGACGCUGAGGAGCGAAAGCUAGGGGAGCAAACGGG
rnacentral:rRNA from 1 species